rnacentral:lncRNA from 1 species
GCAGGUUUUUCAUCUUUCUCUCCAACAACUAGUUCUUCAGGUUUCUCUUCAAGUGCCAGUUCUUCAGGUGUUUCCUCCUUUGCCAGCUCUUCAGGUGUUUCCUCCUUUGCCAGCUCUUCAGGUGUUUCUUUAGCUGCCGGUUCUUCAGGUUUCUCUUCAACCUCCGGUUCUUGUGGUAUUUCCUCUACUUGUACUUCAGAUUUCUCCUCAAUUGUUGGUUCUUCAGGUUUCUCUCUAACCGCUGCUGCAUUAGGUUUCUCUUCAUUGGCUGGUUCUUCAGGUUUUUCUUCAACUACCGAUUCUUCAGGAUUUUCCUCAAUGUUUGGAAAGGGAGCGACAUCAUUAUUGGUAUUGCAUGGAAUUUCACUGCCAGUUUUGUCAUUCAAGUCCACAACUAGUAUAUUCUGCAAAAGAGUUUAAUGUUUCACUUAGUCUUUCAAUAAAGAAGCAGAUGCGAAUCAUUACAUAUACAUAACUAAUAACAUGGAUAAACUUUAUGACAGUAGUUGACCCUUACCUUUUCCACAAGAGUUACUUUUGCAGGUUUCUCCUCUUCAAGUGCUGGUUUCUCUUCAAAUGAUAGUUCAUUAGGUGUUUCUUCCCGUGUUGGUUCUUCAUGUGCUUCUUCAGUUACUGGUUUUUCAGGUUUCUCCUCAAUUGUUGGUUCUUCGCUUGUCUUCUCAACUGAUGGUUCCUCAUGCUUCUCUCCCGUUGUUGAUUUUUCGGGUUUCUCUUCAGUUGUCGAUGGUUCAGUUUUUUUCUCAACCGCUGGUUCUUUUGGCUUCUCCAAAACCAUUUCCGAUUUCUCUUCAGUUGGUGGUUCUUCAUGGUUUUUUUCAACUACUGGUUCUUCUCUUUUUUCCUCAACUGAUGCAUAGUCAGCAAUAUCGUUGUUGGUAUUGCUUGGAAUUGCAUUGUCUGUCUUGUCCUUUGAGCUUACAAUUGGCAUAUUCUGCUAGAAAAAUAUAAAGUUUCAUGUAGUCUUUCAACAGAGAAACCAAUGUAAAUUUGUUGCACAUAUAAAGCUAACAAAUAUGAUGGAUAGACUUUGCGAGAGUGUUUAAUACUCACCUUCUCCGGAAGAGCUUCCGUUUCAGGUUCCUCUUCAAUUUCUGCUUUUUCAUCUUUCUCUUCAACAACUAGUUCUUCAGGUGUCUCUUCAACCGUUGAUUCUUCAGGUUUCUCUUCAAGUGUUAGUUCUUGAGGUGUUUCCUCCUUUGCUAGCUCUUCAGGUGUUUCUGUAACUGCCGGUUCUUCAGGUUCCUCUUCAGCCACCGGCUGUUGACGUAUCUCCUCUACUUGUACUUCAGAUUUCUCCUCAAUUGUUGGUUCUUCAGGUUUCUCCUUAACCGCUGGUACAUCAGGUUUAUCCUCAUUGACUGGUUCUUCAACUGCUGAUUCUUCUAGAUUUUCCUCAAUGUCUGGAAAGCGAGCAACAUCAUUAUUGGUAUUGCAUGGAAUUUCAUUUCCAGUUUCGUUAUUCGAGUCUACAAUUAGCAUAUUCUGCAAAAAGAAUUUAAUGUUUCAUUUAGCCUUUCAAUAAAGAAGCAUAUGCGAAUAACAGUACAUGCAUAACUAACAAAAUGGAUAAACUUUGUGAUAGUGCUUGAUCCUUACCUUUGCCAAAAGAGUUACCUUUUCAGGUUUCUCCUCUUCAACGGUUGGUUCUUCAUGUUUCUUUUCAAAUGCUAGUUCCUUGGUUGUUUCUUCCGGUGUUGGUUCCAUAGGUGUUUCUUCAGUUACUUGUUUUUCGGGUUUCUCUUCAAUUAUUGGUUCUUCGAUUGUCUUCUCAACUGAUGGUUCUUCAAGAUUUUCUCCCACUGUUGGUUUUUGGGGUUUCUCUUCUAUUGUUGGUUGUUCAGGAAUUUUCUCAACUGGUGGUUCUGCUGGAUAUUCCAAAACCAUUGAUUCUUCAGAUUUCUCUUCAAUUGAUGGUUCUUCAUGGGUUUUUUCAACUACUGGUUCUUCAAUUUUUUCCUCAACAGAUGCAUAGUCAACAAUAUCAUUAUUGGUAUUGCUUGGAAUUGCAUCGUCUGUCAUGUCCUUUGAGUUUACUUUUGGCAUAUUCUGCAAUAGAGUUUCAUGUAAUCUUUCAACAGAUAAACAGAUGUAAAUUUGUUGCACAUAUAAAGCUAAUAUGGUGGAUAAACUUUGUGACAGUGUUUAAUCCUCACCUUCUCCUGAAGAUCUUCCGCUUCAAGUUCCUCCUCUACAAUUGCAGUUUUUUCCUCUUCCCCUUCAACAACUAGUUCUUCAGGUGCCUCUUCAGCCGUUGAUUCUUCAGGUUUCUCUUCAAGUGCUAGUUCUUCAGGUGUUUCCUCCUUUGCCAGCUCUUCAGGUGUUUCUUUAGAUGCCGAUUCUUCAGGUUUCUCUUCAGCCAUCGGUUCUUGAGGUAUUUCCUCUACUUGUACUUCAUAUUUCUCCUCAAUUGUUUGUUCUUCAGGUUUCUCUUCAGGUUUCUCCUUAACCACUGGUACAUCAGGUUUCUCUUGAUUAACUGGUUCUUUGGGUUUUUCUUCAACAGCCGAAUCUUCAGGAUUUUCCUCAAUGUCUUGAAAGCAAGCAAUAUCUUUAGUGGUAUUGCAUGGAAUUUCACUGCCAGUUUUGUUGUUCGAGUCUACAAUUAGCAUAUUCUGCAAAAGGAAUUUGAUGUUUCAUUUAGCCUUUUAAUAAAGAAGCAGAUGUGAAUAACAUUACAUGCAUAACUUACAAAAUGGAUAAAUUUUGUGACAGUCCUUGACCCUUACCUUUUCAGGUUUCUCCUCUUCAACAGCUGAUUCUUCAUGUUUCUCUUCAAAUGCUAGUUCUCUGGGUGUUUCUUCCCGUAGUGCUUCUUCAUGUGCUUCUUCAGUUACUGGUUUUUCAGGUUUCUCCUCAAUUGUUGGUUCUUUGAUUGUCUCCUCAACAGAUGGUUCUUCAAGCUUCUCUCCCGUUGUUGAUUUUUCUGGUUUCUCUUCAAUUGCUGGUUGUUCAGGAAUUUUCUCAACAGCUGGUUCUUCUGGCUUCUCUAAAACCAUUGAUUCUUCAGCUUUCUCUUCAAUUGAUGGUUCUUCAUGGUUUUUUUCAACUAUUGGUUCUUCAGUUUUUUCCUCAACGGAUGCAUAGUCAACAAUAUCAUUGUUGGUAUUGCUUGGAAUUGCAUCGUCUGUCAUGUCCUUUGAGUUUACUUUUGGCAUAUUCUACAAUAAAGUUUCAUGUAGUCUUUCAAUAGAUAAACAGAUGUAAAUUUGUUGCAACAUAUAAAGCUAAUAUGGUGGAUAAACUUUGUGACAGUGUUUAAUCCUCACCUUCUCCCGAAGAUCUUCCGCUUUAAGUUCCUCCUCUUCAAUUGCUGUUUUUUCAUCUUUCGUUUCAACAACUAGUUCUUCAGGUGCCUCUUCAGCCGUUGAUUCUUCAGGUUUUUCUUCAAGUGCCAGCUCUUCAGGUGUUUCCUCCUUUGCCAUCUCUUCAGGUGUUUCCUCCUUUGCCAGCUCUUCAGGUGUUUCUUUAGCUGCUGGUUCUUCAGGUUUCUCUUCAGCCGCCAGUUCUUGAGGUAUCUCCUUUUCUACUUCAGAUUUCUCCUCAACUGUUGGUUCUUCAGGUUUCUCUUCAUUAACUGGUUCUUUGGGUUUUUCUUCAACAGCCGAAUCUUCAGGAUUUUCCUCAAUGUCUGGAAAGUGAGCAACAUCUUUAUUGGUAUUGCAUGCAAUUUCACUGUCAGUUUUGUCGUUCAAGUCUACAAUUAGCAUAUUCUGCAAAAAGAAUUUGAUGUUUCAUUUAGCCUAUUAAUAAAGAAGCAGAUGUGAAUAACAUUACAUGCAUAACUUACAAAAUGGAUAAACUUUGUGAUGGUCCUUGACCCUUACCUUUCCAGGCUUCUCCUCUUCAACGGCCAGUUCUUGUUUCUCUUCAAAUGCUAGUUCCCUGGGUGUUUCUUCCUGUAUUGGUUCUUCAUGUGCUUCUUCAGGUACUGGUUUUUCAGGUUUCUCCUCAAUUGUUGGUUCUUCGAUUGUCUCCUCAACAGAUGGUUCUUCAAGGUUCUCUCCCGUUGUUGAGUCUUCUGGUUUCUCUUCAAUUGCUGGUUGUUCAGAAAUUUUCUCAACAGCUGGUUCUUCUGGCUUCUCCAAAACCAUUGAUUCUUCAGCUUUCUCUUCAAUUAAAGGUUCUUCAUGGUUUUUUUCAACUACUGUUUCUUCAGUUUUUUCCUCAACGGAUGCAUAGUCAACAACAUCAUUGUUGGUAUUGCUUGGAAUUGCAUCGUCUGUCAUGUCCUUUGAGCUUACUUUUGGCAUAUUCUGCAAUAAAGUUUCAUGUAGUCUUUCAAUAGAUAAACAGAUGUAAAUUUGUUGCACAUAUAAAGCCAAUAUGGUGGAUACACUUUGUGACAGUGUUUAAUCCUCACCUUCUCCUGAAGAUCUUCCGCUUCAAGUUCUUCCUCUUCAAUUGCUGUUUUUUCAUCUCUCUCUUCAACAACUUGUUCUUCAGGUGCCUCUUCAGCCGUUGAUUCUUCAGGUUUCUCUUCAAGCACUAGUUCUUCAGGUGUUUCCUCCUUUGCCAGCUCUUCAGGUGUUUCUUUAGCUGCCAGUUCUUCAGGUUUCUCUUCAGCUGCCGAUUCUUGAGGUAUUUCCUUUACCUGUACUUUAGAUUUCUCCUCAAAUGUUGGUUCUUCAGGUUUCUCCUUAACCGCAGGUACAUCAGGUUUCUCUUCAGCUGCUGGUUUUUGAGGUUUCUCCUCUACUUGUACCUCGGAUUUCUCCUCAACCAUCGGUUCUUCAGGUUUCUCCUCAACCUCUGGUACGUCAGGUUUCUCUUCAUUAACAAGUUCUUCACUUUUUUCUUCAAUAGUUGAUUCUUCAGGAUUUUCCUUAGUGUCUGGAGAGUAAGCAACAUCAUUAUUGGUAUUGCAUGGAAUUUCACUGCCAGUUGUGUCGUUCGACUCUACCAUUGGCAUAUUCUGCAGAAAGAAUUUAAUGUUUCACUUUGCCUUUCAAUAAAGAAGCCGAUGUAAAUCAGAGGACAUACAUAACUAAAAAAGAUGGAUUAACUUUGUGAUAGUGUUUGACUCUUACCUUUUCGAAAAGAGUUAUCUUUUCAGGUUUCUCCUCUUCAACUGUUGGUUCUUCAUGUUUCUCUUCAAAUGCUAGUUCCUCAGGUGUUUCUUCCUGUAUUGGUUCCUCAGGUGUUUCUUCUUCUGUUACUUGCUUUUCAGGUUUCUCCUCAAUUGUUGGUUCUUUGAUUGUCUCCCCAAUCGAUGGUUCUUCAAGCUUUCCCCCCCCUGUUGGUUUUUCAGGUUUCUCUUCAAUUUUCGGUUGUUCAGGUAUUUUCUCAACUGCCGGUUCUUCUGCCUUCUCCAACACCAUUGAUUCUUCAGAUUCCUCUUCAAUUGAUGAUUCUUCAUGGGUUUUUUUAACUACUGACUCUUCUGUGUUUUCCUCAACUGAUGCAUAAUCAGCAAUGUCGUUGUCGGUAUUGCUUGGAAUUGCAUUGUCUAUCUUGUCCUUUGAGUUUAAUUUUGGCAUAUUCUGCAAUAAAGUUUCAUGUAGUCUUUCAAUAGAUAAACAGAUGUAAAUUUGUUGCACUCAUAAAGCUAAUAUGAUGGAUAAAAUUUGUGACAGUGUUUAAUCCUCACCUUCUCCUGAAAAACUUCUGUUUCAAGUUCCUCCUCUUCAAUUGCUGCUUUUUCAUCUUUCUUCUCUACAACUAAUUCUUCAGGUUCCUCCUCAACGGUUGAUUCUUCAGGCUUUUCUUCAAGUACUAGUUCUUCAGGUGUUUCCUCCUUUGCUAGCUCUUCAGGUGUUCCUUUAGCUGCCGGUUCUUCUGGCUUCUCUUCAGCCUCCGGUUUUUGAGAUAUCUCCUCUACUUGAACUUUAGAUUUCUCAUUAAUUGUUGGUUCUUCAGGUUUCACCUCAACCGCUGGUACAUCAGAUUUCUCCUCAUUAACUGGUUCUUCAGGUUUUUCUUCAACAGCCAAUUCUUCAGGAAUUUCCUCAAUGUCUGGAAAGUGAACAACAUUAUUCUUCGUAUUGCAUGGAAUUUCACUGCCACUGUUGUCGUUCGAGUCUAUAAUUAGCAUAUUCUGCAUAAAGAAUUCAAUGUUUUACUUAGCCUUUCAAUAAAGAAGCAGGUGUGAAUCACAAUACAUGCAUAUCUAACAAAAUGGAUAAACUUUGUGAUAGUGCUUGGCCCUUACCUUUUCUAAAAGAGUUUCCUUUUCAGGUUUCUCCUCUUCGAUGGCUGGUUCUUCAUGUUUCUCUUCAAAUGGUAGUUCAUUUGGUGUUUCUUCUCGUGUUGGUUCUUCAGGUGCUUCCUCAGUUACUGGUUUUACAGGUUUCUCUUCAACUGUUAGUUCUUCGAGUGUCUCCUCCAUCGAUGGUUCCUCAAGUUUCUCUCUUGCUGCUGGUUUUUCAGAUUUAUCUUCAACUAUCGGUUGUUCAGGUUUAUUCUCAAUCGCUGGUUCUGCAGGCUUCUCCGAAACCGCUGAUUCUUCAGAUUUCUCUUCAAUUGGUGAUUCUUCGUGUUUUUUUUCAACUACGGGUUCUUCAGUUUUUUCCUCAACUGAUGCAUAAUCAGCACUAUCAUUGUUGGUAUUGCAUGGAGUUGCAUUUUCUGUCUUGUUCUUUGAGCCUACAAUUGGUGAAUUCUGCAAAAAAUUUAAAAUUUCAUUUAGUCUUUAAAUAGAUAAACAGAUGUAAAUUCAUUGCACAUAUAAAGCUAAUAUGAUAGAUAAACUUUGUGACAGUGUUUAAUCUUCACCUUCUCCUGAAGAGCUUCCAUUUCUAGUUCCUCCUCUUCACUUGCUGGUUUUUCAUCUUUCUCUUCAACAACUAGUUCUUCAGGUGUCUUUAUAGUCUUUGAUUCUUCAGGUGCUUCUUUAUCUGCCCGUUCUUCAGGUUUCUCUUCAGCCACCGGUUCUUGAGGUAUAUUCUCUUGUACUUCAGAUCUCUCCUCAAUUAUUGGUUCUGCAGGUUUCUCUUCAUUGUCUGGUUCUUUGGGUUUUUCUUCGACAGCCAAUUCUUCAAGAUGAUUUUCCUCAAUGU